rnacentral:rRNA from 1 species
CGGGUGAGGAAUACAUCGGAACGUGUCUUUAAGUGGGGGAUAACGCAUCGAAAGGUGUGCUAAUACCGCAUAAUCUCUGAGGAGAAAAGCAGGGGAUCGCAAGACCUUGUGCCUUUGGAGCGGCCGAUGCCUGAUUAGCUUGUUGGUAAGGUAAAAGCUUACCAAGGCUUCGAUCAGUAGCUGGUCUGAGAGGACGACCAGCCACACUGGGACUGAGACACGGCCCAG